rnacentral:rRNA from 1 species
GUCUACAACCAUGCCACCCUGAACAAGCCCAAUCCCGUCUGAUCUCGAAAGCUAAGCAGGGUCGGGCCUGGUUAGUACUUGGAUAGGAGACCACCUAGGAAGACCAGGUGCUGUAGGCG